ensembl:lncRNA
UUUUUUUUUUUUUUUUUUUUUUUUUUUUCUUUUUAGGACCACUUCCAUGGCAUAUGGAAGUUACCAGGCUAGGGGUCGAAUUGGCGCUACAGCUGCCAGCCUACACUAUAGCCACAGCAACAUGGGAUCCAAGUGGCACCUGAGACCUACACCACAGUUUGCAGCAGAACUGGAUCCUAACCCACUGAGUGAGGCUAGGGAUGAACCCACAUUUCCAUGGAUCCUAUCGGAUUCAUUUCCGCUGCGCCAUGAUGGGAACUCCCCCAUUGCAUUUUUUUUAAUGGAGAUUUUUUUUCUUUAUUAAAUUUAAGACUUGGGUACAUGAAAUAAAAUCCAUUUCUGGGGAAAAACAAUCAAAACCCACAAUAGGGUAAAAAAAGAAAGUGAACACUAUCUGGGCCAUAUCAGAACCCAGAGCAGAGCUUUUAAAGAACUCCAGAUAAGUCAGAAGUGGAGAAAUUUGUUCAGCCCCACACACUCCCUGAUUGGAUCCCAAAAUCUAUUCCUUAAAGACUCUAGUGGGGAGCCCUGGAUUCUGUUAAGGUCCCUCCAGCUCCAUACCCCCAAUGUCCCUUUUUCUCUGAUCUGGUGGCAAAAUUUGUCUCAAAAUUUGGGACAGAUUGAUUUUUCAGUGACGGUAACACUUUCUGAUAAAUGCGGUUAAAGCCAUUUCUCCCCCCUCCCCCGCCCACCCUCUCCUGUAAGAAACUUAACUACAGGGGGAGAAAUGGCCUCAAAUGGAAGUAAACAGCUGGAGCUGAUGAAUUCCAGAAACAAGUAUUCCUAGAAGCGUUUAUGGAGGAAGGGGGGUGCUGGGAGAAGGAGAGAGAGAGAUGAAUGCCGUGGAGGUUAUGUAAAUAUAAUUAUUUCUAAGUAGAAUACCUUCAAUAUUUUCCAUUAGGUAGCGGGGAGGUCAUUGUGAGGCCAAUUGUCCAAAUAUGGCUGCUCAUUCCUCUGAGUCAGCAAAAUAUAUUAACAACAACAACGAAAAAGAUCUGUGGGAGAGAAAAAUUUCCUGCCACAUAUUCUGGUAAGUAUCUCUAAAUGUAUGGAAUCUUAUAUUUAGGGCUGUGGUUUGCAAACAUCUUUUCCAAGUGUGAAAAAAACCUCCUUUCAAAGGAAACGUGACUCAAAACGCCUUCCCACAACCCCCAGUCCAGCCUCAGGAAACCCCAGGAAUUCAAGUCUGGGUGUUUUGAGGGCUGACCUCAGACUAGAAACUACUCUUCAUCUGGGAGUUAGUUAGAAAUGCAGCCUCUGGGCCGGACCUGCCCCAUCGGAGGCUGCGUUUUCAUACCGACUCCAGGGGCUUUAUAUGCACCUUAAAAUUGAAGAGGCAGAUUGAGGGGAUUUACUCCUGAAAAUUUCUUCCUCUGUUGGAUCAUUCUAAAUACCUGGAUGAGGCGUCUUGAAAAUUAGUCUGGAAAUUUCCAGCUCCCAACCCAGGUACCGCUCUAAGUAGGGUAAUCCGUAACUGUGUCAUCUGCUAGACGGCUUCUUCUAGUUUGUCAAAUCUAAAGUGUACCCCUCCUCUCGCAGAAAUGGCACAGGAAGAAGUGAUGGUGCCUUGGAAAAAGGCAAGAGAAGAGGGAGAGUAAAAUGGUUAAAAGUAGAGGGUGUGAACCUGAGUUCCAGGGGCUUGAACUCAACACUUCCACCUCCUGCUUUGGGUAGACUCGGGCAAGUUAAUUAAAGUCCUGUGCUAUUUGUCCCCAUCGUCAAAGGGGGAUGGGGGUGGUGAGGAUGAUGAUGGUACCCAUGGUGAUGAUAAUAAUGAUGGGGAUGAAAAUGGUACCCAGGAUGAUGAUGAUAAUGGUGAGGAUGAGGAUGGUACCCAUGAUGAUGAUGAUAAUGGUGAGGAUGAAGAUGGUACCCAUGAUGGUGAUGAUAAUGGUGAGGAUGAGGGUGGUACCCAUGAUGGUGAUAAUAAUGAUGGGGAUAAAAUGGUACCCGGGAUGAUGAUGAUAAUGGUGAGGAUGAGGAUGGUUCCCUUGAUGAUAACCAUGGUGAGGAUGAGGAUGGUAUCCAUCAAAUGACUGAUAGGCAGGAGGCACCUGGAAUUGUCAAGGCAGCUGGUAAGGGCUUUUACUCCUGAUUAAGUAGGAUCUACACCUGUGUCCUGGGCCGUGCUUGUCAAGCACCUGAGCUGUGAACCCUGCUGGCCUAGGGGGGUAGCCUGGGCCUGGGUACAUGCAGGGCCUCCUGGGCAGCCCCUCCACAGGGUGGUGCUGGCCCCCAGGAGCCUUUCUGCAUGAUACGGAGAGCCUCUGCCACCUCUCUGCUCUCUUGGCACCAUGAACCACUUGGUCUCAACCCAGCAAUCUGCUCUUAUAAAUAGGAGAGGAGAUAAAAAUAGAAAAGUUGUGGAAAACUGACACAGGGAAUUAGGUCACCCUAGAAAUGCCAAGACAUCAGCAAAGCUUCUGAUUAGCGGGGGUUUAAUACUGCGACCUCUGAUGGCUGCCAGGCCCUGGACGUGUAGGCUGAGAAUUCCAGAUGGAACAGGCCUGAAGGGAUGCCCCAGAAGCAACCCUCUAUCUCGCCACCCUCCAUAUUCAUGUUCCUAUGAAACUGCUCUCAGUUUGGGGUCAGAAAAGCAGCAGCAGAAACCAGGGGGGAAGCAUAAGGCAGGAAGAUGGGCUGACAUGAUGUGGAUUCAGUUAAACUUGAGUUUGAGUUUGGGUCCAAUUGCACCUUAAUUCUUGCCUCCGAGGCAAAUUCCACAGGCCACCUGUGGACGGAACCCUUUUCUUCUCUGGUGGAGAUGCCAGGACUCUGUAUGGGACCCAGAGCAAUGGCCAGUGGCUGGUCCUCCUGGGUGAAGUAGGGGAGCAAACGGGUGAGAAGCAUCUCAGCCUCAGAACAUGGCACACUCUUCAGUGCCUGACUCCGGGACAUUAAACUUCCAUCCUAUUUGGAAUGCAGGCCCUUGAUGACCCCAAAGGAGUGUCGUGUGUCCUUUGCGGGGGUCAGGAAGGAUGAGAAAGCAGACCCAGCCCUGGUUCUGCGGCCGUUGGCUCAGCAUCACCGCCAGGUGGGUUUCUGUGACUGAACCAUCAUCUCCCCAUGUUGUCUCCACAUCAGAGAAGGACACGGUUCAGGCUGCUUCCACACAUGACUCCACAAGGGUUUGCACUUUCUCUUGUUCAUUCCCAACCUGCCCGAGGUCCUGGAGGGAGUUGGCCUAACCAGGGAUCAGGGGACGUGGCGAGGGACCACAGUGUGGGUCUUUAUGUGACUUCAUCUCACAGGGAGCCAUGAAGCCUGUGCUGGGACCUCUGGGGACAGAGCCACACUGGCCUCCCACCUCCCUCCCCCAGAACCAUGGCCAAAACCCCCUCCUGAGGACCAAGACUCCUGCCACCAUCCGGUACCAUCUUGAUCCUUUGGGCCAUACACACAUACCACACACUACAGUCUGCUGCUCAGUUUUUCUGCCCUAAGUGGACUCACAUUUUCACUUCAAUAAAUUAGUUCAUAGAGAAGUUAACCAUCGCUGCACUAAACAGGAAAGUGGUAUCAUUGAUCAGACCUAGAUGUUACUAGAAAAAAAAUGCCAUGGGAGUUCCCACUGUGGCACAACAGGAUCAGUGGCAUCUUUGCAGUGCCAGGAAGCAGGUUCAAUCCCUGGCCCCGUGCAACGGGUUAAAGGAACCAGUGUUGCUACAGCGGUGACUUAGGUCACAACUGUGGCUCGGAUCUGAUCCCUGGCCCGGGGACUCCAUAUGCCAAGGGGAGGCCAAAAAAGUACCAAAAA